GUAGUAUUCCCUCCAUCCCAAAAUUCUUGUCUUACAUUUGUUUAGAUACGGAUGUAUCUAACACUAAAAUGUAACUAGAUACAUCCGUAUUUAGACAAAUUUAAGACAAGAAUUUUGGAACGGAGGGAGUACAAA
rnacentral:pre_miRNA from 1 species